GAAUACAAUAGCCAACCAUAAAAAGGCAUGUAAAGUGCAACUUUUGUGACAUUGUUUGAUAGAACGCCAUCUCAACCAAGAAUGCCCCGGAAAAAUUUAGGCAAGAAAUGACGAGAUUAAAAGCUUGAGAUUUAACUUGGACAUAUAAUCACAUGAAUUAGAAAUUCACGGGUGUGACUUCACAAUUUAAAGGAAAAAGGAUAUACAACAAUCCGCGUCAGGAAUGAAUGCGAACUGAAUUUACUACAACAUGCAUGCCAUGAACAUCAUGUAUGAGCUUCUUAAACUAAACUUAGCUCAUUUUUAUCCAUCUACUAACGAUAUUUUUCUGUCAACAAGCAACGAAUUUGGUUCUUGUUUCAUUUUAUAGACAAAAGAAAACCAAUGCAAACUAUGAUAUUUGCAUGAUUCCUCAAAUCAUACAUCUACAACUCUAGCCAAAAGAACGAGCUCUUUCUCCGAGAAAUUUAAUAUAUUCUUUCACGCACCAGUUGAGCCCAUAUAGCUUAGAGCAUAGACA